rnacentral:lncRNA from 1 species
ACUAAUCAAAUUUGAGGUAGCAUGCCUUUGAUCUGCUUUCCUAGUGUUAACAGAGCAGUCAUGCUUUUUCUCAAUAUUUACUAUCUUGAACAAUGUUGAACCUUUUAUUCUGAAAGCACGCACACACCAGUAACACCUACCAUCAUUGCAUGUCAACGAAUAUCUUGUUGAGCUUGAUCUUACAACCUUGAAUUCAAAAUGUCCUUUGAUUGCUAUAUCGGAAAAACUUAUACUCUUCUUCUUGUCAAAUACUUAUCCGGCUUUUAUUUCAUCCAAUGAAGCAUUUUCUCUUAAUAUCGUAGUUGG